GAUUGAACGCUGGCGGCAGGCCUAACACAUGCAAGUCGAGCGAGAAAGCACUUCGGUGUGAGUACAGCGGCGGACGGGGGAGGUAACGCGUAGGAAUUUGUCCAGUAGUGGGGGACAACAUGUGGAAACGCAUGCUAAUACCGCAUACGCCCUACGGGGGAAAGCAGGGGAUCUUCGGACCUUGCGCUAUUGGAUGAGCCUGCGUCGGAUUAGCUAGUUGGUGGGGUAAAGGCCCACCAAGGCGACGAUCCGUAGCUGGUCUGAGAGGAUGAUCAGCCACACUGGAACUGAGACACGGUCCAGACUCCUACGGGAGGCAGCAGUGGGGAAUAUUGCGCAAUGGGCGAAAGCCUGACGCAGCCAUGCCGCGUGUGUGAAGAAGGCCUUAGGGUUGUAAAGCACUUUCAGUAGGGAGGAAAAGUUAGUCGUUAAUAGCGGCUUUCAUUGACGUUACCCACAGAAGAAGCACCGGCUAACUCCGUGCCAGCAGCCGCGGUAAUACGGAGGGUGCAAGCGUUAAUCGGAAUUACUGGGCGUAAAGCGCGCGUAGGCGGAUUGGCAAGUUGGAUGUGAAAGCCCUGGGCUCAACCUGGGAACUGCAUUUAGAACUGGAUAGCUAGAGUAUGGUAGAGGAGUGUGGAAUUCCAGGUGUAGCGGUGAAAUGCGUAGAGAUCUGAAGGAACAUCAGUGGCGAAGGCGACACUCUGGACCAAUACUGACGCUGAGGUGCGAAAGCGUGGGUAGCAAACAGGAUUAGAUACCCUGGUAGUCCACGCCGUAAACGAUGUCUACUAGCCGUUGGGUUCCUUGAGGACUUAGUGGCGCAGCUAACGCAUUAAGUAGACCGCCUGGGGAGUACGGUCGCAAGGUUGAAACUCAAAGGAAUUGACGGGGGCCCGCACAAGCGGUGGAGCAUGUGGUUUAAUUCGAUGCAACGCGAAGAACCUUACCAGGUCUUGACAUCCUGCGAAUUUUCUAGAAAUAGAUUAGUGCCUUCGGGAACGCAGUGACAGGUGCUGCAUGGCUGUCGUCAGCUCGUGUCGCGAGAUGUUGGGUUAAGUCCCGUAACGAGCGCAACCCUUGUCCUUAGUUGCCAUCAGGUAAUGCUGGGAACUUAAGGAGACUGCCGGUGACAAACCGGAGGAAGGUGGGGACGACGUCAAGUCAUCAUGGCCCUUACGACCUGGGCUACACACGUGCUACAAUGGCCGGUACAGAGGGCUGCAAUACCGCGAGGGGGAGCGAAUCUCAGAAAACCGGUCGUAGUCCGGAUUGGAGUCUGCAACUCGACUCCAUAAAGUCGGAAUCGCUAGUAAUAGCGAAUCAGAAUGUCGCGGUGAAUACGUUCCCGGGCCUUGUACACACCGCCCGUCACACCAUGGGAGUGGAUUGCACCAGAAGUAGGUAGCUUAACCUUCGGGAGAGCGCUUACCACGGUGUGGUUCAUGACUGGGGUGAA
rnacentral:rRNA from 1 species